rnacentral:rRNA from 1 species
CCUACGGGAGGCAGCAGUAGGGAAUAUUGCUCAAUGGGGGAAACCCUGAAGCAGCAACGCCGCGUGGAGGAUGAAGGUUUUCGGAUUGUAAACUCCUUUUGUUAGAGAAGAUAAUGACGGUAUCUAACGAAUAAGCACCGGCCAACUCCGUGCCAGCAGCGGCGGGAAUACGGAGGGUGCCAGCGUUACUCGGAAUCACUGGGCGUAAAGAGCGCGUAGGCGGGAUAGCAAGUCAGAUGUGAAAACCUAGGGCUUAACCAUAGAACUGCAUUUGAAACUGGUAGUCUAGAGUUGGAGAGAGGUAGGUGGAAUGCGUGGUGUAGGGGUAAAAUGCAUAGAGAUCAAGAAGAAUACUGAUUGCGAAGGCGGCCUGCUGGAACAUAACUGACGCUGAUGCGCGAAAGCGUGGGGAGCGAACAGGAUUAGAUACCCGAGUAGUC